GACGAACGCUGGCGGCGUGCUUAACACAUGCAAGUCGAACGGAAAGGCCCUGCUUUUGUGGGGUGCUCGAGUGGCGAACGGGUGAGUAACACGUGAGUAACCUGCCCUUGACUUUGGGAUAACUUCAGGAAACUGGGGCUAAUACCGGAUAGGAGCUCCUGCUGCAUGGUGGGGGUUGGAAAGUUUCGGCGGUUGGGGAUGGACUCGCGGCUUAUCAGCUUGUUGGUGGGGUAGUGGCUUACCAAGGCUUUGACGGGUAGCCGGCCUGAGAGGGUGACCGGCCACAUUGGGACUGAGAUACGGCCCAGACUCCUACGGGAGGCAGCAGUGGGGAAUAUUGCACAAUGGGCGGAAGCCUGAUGCAGCAACGCCGCGUGCGUGAUGAUGGCCUUCGGGUUGUAAACAGCUUUCGCCUGUGACGAAGCGUGAGUGACGGUAAUGGGUAAAGAAGCACCGGCUAACUACGUG
rnacentral:rRNA from 1 species